GACGAACGCUGGCGGCGUGCUUAACACAUGCAAGUCGAACGGAAAGGCCCUGCUUUUGUGGGGUGCUCGAGUGGCGAACGGGUGAGUAACACGUGAGUAACCUGCCCUUGACUUUGGGAUAACUUCAGGAAACUGGGGCUAAUACCGGAUAGGAGCUCCUGCUGCAUGGUGGGGGUUGGAAAGUUUCGGCGGUUGGGGAUGGACUCGCGGCUUAUCAGCUUGUUGGUGGGGUAGUGGCUUACCAAGGCUUUGACGGGUAGCCGGCCUGGGAGGGUGACCGGCCACAUUGGGACUGAGAUACGGCCCAGACUCCUACGGGAGGCAGCAGUGGGGAAUAUUGCACAGUGGGCGGGAGCCUGAUACAGCAACGCCGCGUGCGGGAUGACGGCCUUCGGGUUGUAAACCGAUUUCGCCUGUGACGAAGCGUGAGUGACGGUAAUGGGUAAAGAAGCACCGGCUAACUACGUG
rnacentral:rRNA from 1 species